CGGGCCGUCCGACCCGUCGCUGCGCCGCCCGGCGGAGCUAGGCCGUUCGCCGGCAGCGCAGAGCAAAGUCCGGACUCGCGAGGGCCGGGGACUCCCUGGUCCGAAAAGGCCGCUCGGGCUAACAAUCCGAGGGGCGGUGUGGCGCAAGCCCGCCGCUACGUCAAGUGCAACAGAGAGCAGACCAGCCGAUGGCUAGACGGAUACGCCUCAUCGGGACGUGUCCUACGGUACAGGUGAUGGGUGAAAGGGUGGGGUAAGAGCCCACCGGCGGUACCCCGCGAGGGACCGGCCAGGUAAACCACCGGUGCGAGCAAGCCAAAUUGUCUGGGAUUCCCAGACUGGUAGGCGCGGCUCCUUUAAGAGGAGCCCGGGAGGAGAGUCUCCCGGAGAUGGAUGGCGGGAUAGAGCAGAAUCCGGCUUACGGGACGGCCCGAACC
rnacentral:RNase_P_RNA from 1 species